rnacentral:rRNA from 1 species
GAUGAACGCUGGCGGCGUGCCUAAUACAUGCAAGUCGAGCGAAUGGAUUAAGAGCUUGCUCUUAUGAAGUUAGCGGCGGACGGGUGAGUAACACGUGGGUAACCUGCCCAUAAGACUGGGAUAACUCCGGGAAACCGGGGCUAAUACCGGAUAACAUUUUGAACCGCAUGGUUCGAAAUUGAAAGGCGGCUUCGGCUGUCAAUUAUGGAUGGACCCGCGUCGCAUUAGCUAGUUGGUGAUGUAACGGCUCACCAAGAAAACGAUGCGUAGCCGACCUGAGAGUGUGAUCGGCCACACUGGGACUGAGACACGGCCCAGACUCCUACGGGAGGCAGCAGUAGGGAAUCUUCCGCAAUGGACGAAAGUCUGACGGAGCAACGCCGCGUGAGUGAUGAAGGCUUUCGGGUCGUAAAACUCUGUUGUUAGGGAAGAACAAGUGCUAGUUGAAUAAGCUGGCACCUUGACGGUACCUAACCAGAAAGCCACGGCUAACUACGUGCCAGCAGCCGCGGUAA